UUCUGACUCCGGAUUUUCUAUGAUUUGAAGUGGGAGAACAUUAAUUUACAUGCAAGACUCUUAUUUUGAAACUAAUUUACUCAAGAUCGGUGAAUCCAUAGUUGAGGCAAUUAUCAGGAUGCCACUAGGGGCUGCUGCUGUUCUGAAGUGGUUGUUCUCUGUUUUCUGGGGGCACUCAAACAUGUUCUUGGUAGAUACUUUAAUUGGACUGUUUUACUAAGCAAUUUUUCACGAUGGUCACUUUUAGGGUAAUAGUGCCUUUUGAAGAGCAAAAUAAUAUAUUUUUUUAACCUCUUGUACCUACUGAAUGAUUAGGAACCUAAUUAUUUUGUGCUAACUUUUAGCUAGGCUCAUGGGCCUGGGUGCAGGGUCAGUUCCUUCUCUGUAAAGAAGGAGAGCACUGCCUACAGUUUCUGGAUUACUCUGUGAGGUGAUGAGGAAGCUUCUAAAUGUGCAGCUGCUGCUAAUAAUGGUGUGAACAUUGCAGAUGGCCUGGUUGGUGGUAUGGUGACACUUAUUACACCAUGGUGAAGCAUUAGAACUUCUGGAGCUUACUUAAUCAGAGGCUGUUGAGGAGCAGAGGGGGGGGGACUGCUCCCAUGAAUGCUGUGCAGGUGUGUCACUACACGGAGGUGUCUGAGAUAAUGGGGCAAGUGGCCUACUUAAGAGGGAGUGCUAGUGAAUAUGACACGUACGGUACACCUGUGUGUGAUACUGAAAAGAUGAAUGGUUCUCUUAUGCUCUGAUUUAUUUCACAAAAUCUUUAAAUAUGUCAUGCUUUGUGUGCUGUUAUCUAGGCUUCUUUUUCAGUCUACAUAAUGGGAACAUGUUUCUACCACAAAUUCAAGUUUAAUUGGGUAGAAGUCAUUUUCCAGGUUUAGUUUGCCUUUGUUAAGCUUUUCAUUUACUUUCUUUAUUUGAGAAUGAUACAAAAUAGCUUUUACAGACUGCGUAGCAAAGUAAAUAAUAAUAAAUGAAAGCUUUACUUAUGAAAUUGUUUUUCCCUACAAAGCAGCUCCCUUCCAUGUUUGAAGUACUGCUUCCAAUAGCUGCUGCUGAUCUGCUCUACAAAGAUGCGGCAGGACAAAUACAUUCCUACAUGUGUGGAAAAAAACGGGCCAUAUUCUUGCUCUUUUCAGAGGUUAUCGUAUAUAUACUUCAACUGGGCCAAGGAAACUACUUAAUAAAUCUCCAAAU
ensembl:lncRNA